rnacentral:rRNA from 1 species
UAUCGGAUUGAUACUAAGCCAUGCGAGUCAUUGCAGUAAUGCAAGGCAGACGGCUCAGUAACGCGUAGUCAACCUACCCUAUGGACGGGAAUAACCUCGGGAAACUGAGUAUAAUGCCCGAUAGAACACUAUUCCUGGAAUGGUUUGUGUUCCAAAUGAUUUAUCGCCGUAGGAUGGGACUGCGGCCUAUCAGUUUGUUGGUGAGGUAAUGGCCCACCAAGACUAUUACAGGUACGGGCUCUGAGAGGAGUAGCCCGGAGAUGGGUACUGAGACACGGACCCAGGCCCUAUGGGGCGCAGCAGGCGAGAAAACUUUGCAAUGUGCGAAAGCACGACAAGGUUAAUCCGAGUGGUUUGUGCUAAACGAACCUUUUGACAGUCCUAGAAACACUGUUGAAUAAGGGGUGGGCAAGUUCUGGUGUCAGCCGCCGCGGUAAAACCAGCACCUCAAGUGGUCAGGAUGAUUAUUGGGCCUAAAGCAUCCGUAGCCGGCUCUGUAAGUUUUCGGUUAAAUCUGUACGCUCAACGUACAGGCUGCCGGGAAUACUGCAGAGCUAGGGAGUGGGAGAGGUAGACGGUACUCGGUAGGAAGGGGUAAAAUCCUUUGAUCUAUUGAUGACCACCUGUGGCGAAGGCGGUCUACCAGAACACGUCCGACGGUGAGGGGUGAAAGCUGGGGGAGCAAACCGGAUUAGAUACCCGGGUAGUCCCAGCUGUAAACUAUGCAAACUCAGUGAUGCAUUGGCUUGUGGCCAAUGCAGUGCUGCAGGGAAGCCGUUAAGUUUGCCGCCUGGGAAGUACGUACGCAAGUAUGAAACUUAAAGGAAUUGGCGGGGGAGCACCACAAGGGGUGAAGCCUGCGGUUCAAUUGGAUUC